rnacentral:tRNA from 1 species
CAGGGAGACAACAAAAUGUUUAAUAUUAUUAUUUUGUCACCUUAGGUCGAUCGGUAUCUCACGUUUUUAAUUUAUUAAGAAUUUCAUUUCCUAAGUUUCUCUAGGUCACACCCAUUAUUUUUCCUGGGCCAUUAGCUCAGGUGGUUAGGGCGCACCCCUGAUAAGGGUGAGGUCCCUGGUUCAAGUCCAGGAUGGCCCAUAUCUCUAUGUUGGGGGUAUAGCUCAGUUGGUAGAGCGCCUGCUUUGCAAGCAGGAUGUCAGCGGUUCGAGUCCGCUUACCUCCACUGAUUACCACCUCUUCCAUAACCGGUAGAAAGGAAAUGUAUUGAGUUGUGAUCAAAUUCUGAAAGAAUCUAGCUUCCUAAUGAAAUCAUUAAGAUGCUGGACUCAUUGAAUUACUUUCAUUGAUUUCAGAGAACCUUGACAACUGCAUAGAUUAUUUUAAAGACAAUAAGCAUCUUUAAUGAUGCAGAUUUAUUAUUUGUGCGAAUGCAUUAAUAACAAUUCUAUUAAGCUGAUGCUUCAAUUUAUGAAGUUAUU